AUUGAACGCUGGCGGCAGGCCUAACACAUGCAAGUCGAGCGGAUGAAGGGAGCUUGCUCCUGGAUUCAGCGGCGGAUGGGUGAGUAAUGCCUAGGAAUCUGCCUGGUAGUGGGGGAUAACGUCCGGAAACGGGCGCUAAUACCGCAUACGUCCUGAGGGAGAAAGUGGGGGAUCUUCGGACCUCACGCUAUCAGAUGAGCCUAGGUCGGAUUAGCUAGUUGGUGGGGUAAAGGCCUACCAAGGCGACGAUCCGUAACUGGUCUGAGAGGAUGAUCAGUCACACUGGAACUGAGACACGGUCCAGACUCCUACGGGAGGCAGCAGUGGGGAAUAUUGGACAAUGGGCGAAAGCCUGAUCCAGCCAUGCCGCGUGCGUGAAGAAGGUCUUCGGAUUGUAAAGCACUUUAAGUUGGGAGGAAGGGCAGUAAGUUAAUACCUUGCUGUUUUGACGUUACCAACAGAAUAAGCACCGGCUAACUUCGUG
rnacentral:rRNA from 1 species